rnacentral:rRNA from 1 species
GAAUCUGCCCUCAGGAGGGGGACAACAGCUGGAAACGGCUGCUAAUACCCCAUAUGCCGCGAGGUGAAAUGAAUUUCGCCUGAGGAUGAGCUCGCGUCUGAUUAGCUAGUUGGUGUAGGUAAUGGCUCACCAAGGCAUCGAUCAGUAGCUGGUCUGAGAGGAUGAUCAGCCACACUGGGACUGAGACACGGNCCAGACUCCUACGGGAGGCAGCAGUGGGGAAUUUUCCGCAAUGGGCGAAAGCCUGACGGAGCAACGCCGCGUGAGGGAUGAAGGCCUCUGGGCUGUAAACCUCUUUUAUCAAGGAAGAAGAUCUGACGGUACUUGAUGAAUAAGCCACGGCUAAUUCCGUGCCAGCAGCCGCGGUAAUACGGGAGUGGCAAGCGUUAUCCGGAAUUAUUGGGCGUAAAGCGUCCGCAGGCGGCCCUUCAAGUCUGCUGUUAAAAAGUGGAGCUUAACUCCAUCAUGGCAGUGGAAACUGUUGGGCUUGAGUGUGGUAGGGGCAGAGGGAAUUCCCGGUGUAGCGGUGAAAUGCGUAGAUAUCGGGAAGAACACCAGUGGCGAAGGCGCUCUGCUGGGCCAUCACUGACGCUCAUGGACGAAAGCCCAGGGGGAGCGAAAGGGAUUAGAUACCCCUGUAGUCCUGGCCGUAAACGAUGAAC